UACGUAGGGGGCUAGCGUUGUCCGGAAUCAUUGGGCGUAAAGAGCGUGUAGGCGGCCCGGUAAGUCCGCUGUGAAAGUCGGGGGCUCAACCCUCGAAUGCCGGUGGAUACUGUCGGGCUAGAGUGCGGAAGAGGCGAGUGGAAUUCCUGGUGUAGCGGUGAAAUGCGCAGAUAUCAGGAGGAACACCGAUUGCGAAGGCAGCUCGCUGGGACGUAACUGACGCUGAGACGCGAAAGCUAGGGGAGCAAACAGG
rnacentral:rRNA from 1 species